rnacentral:lncRNA from 1 species
GGAAUUGUUGGAUCAUAAACUUGAUCCAAGAUGAAUAAAUCAAGCCCAACUCAUGGAAGGUUCCAUGAGUAGGUAUGGUUGGUGAGGUUUGAAUUAUUUGUGUGAGGUGUGUUAGGUGUGGUUGGUGAAGUAGGUGAGUGGUAGGUUUUAAUGGAUAGUGAGGAUUUGUUUAUUAGUUGAAUAAAUGAAUGGUUGUGAUUAGUUUGUUUCAUGUAUAAAUACCCCCUCUCCCCUUUGGUUAAAACAUCAAGUGAAGUAGCAAAAUCUCUAAGGUGUAGAGAGUGAAAAAUAAGAGUUGUAAUUGGUGAGGAGUGUUGUUGUAGAAAUAAAAUAGUGUAUUUUUUCUGUGUUUUAUUUGUUAAUUCUCCAACAAAGUGGUAUCAGAGCUAGUGCUUGAUGCUAUAUAUAGUCAUAUAGCAUAUCAAAUCGAAGAUCUCGACGAGAGGAACGUGACGCCGCAAAAAUCAUUCCGAUCCGAGACCGGAUGCGCCCACACUUGCCGCUGGAAGUUUUCUGUCCUGAAGCUGAGUCGACUCACCGAGUUGAACCAAGCUGAGCCGAACUGAACCAAGCCGAGCCGAGCCGAACUGAAUCAAGUCGAACCGAGCCAACUCGAGCUAAACCAAUCUGGACCGAACCAAGACUACUAAGUCGGUGUUGACCGUUGACCGACGUUGACCGUUGACCAAAAGUUUACUCGAGUCAUUCCCAAGGUUUUUCAACGUGCCGGAUCCAUCUGUGCUUUCAGAAUCUCCAAAUUCUCACUCAAUUUGUGAGUUAUGGCAAACGGUGGUAUGAUGUCAUUUCAAGUUCCACAAUUAAAGGGAAGUAAGUUUGACAAUUGGAGUAUUAAAAUGAAGGCUCUAUUGGGCGCACAUGACGUAUGGGAUGUUGUGGAGAAAGGCUUUAUUGUGCCAGAAAAUGAAGCCACUUUAACUGCAGCGCAGAAGGAGAAUUUAAAAGACUUGAAGAAGAAAGAGAAUAAAGCAAAGUAUCUCAUCUUUCAAUCAUUAGAUGAAGAUGCUUUUGAAAAGAUUGCUGGUACAACCUCCUCAAAAAAAGCAUGGGAGAAACUAGAGACCUCUUACAAAGGAGCGGAGCAAGUUACGAAGGUUCGUCUCCAAACAUUACGAGGAGAAUUUGAGUCCUUACACAUGAAGGCGUCAGAGUCAAUUUCUGAAUACUUUACUCGGGUUGUGACAGUUUCCAAUGAAUUAAAAAGAAAUGGCGACGAGUUAAAAGAGGUAAGGAUCAUUGAAAAGAUACUUCGAUCAGUAGACUCGAAGUUUGAUCAUAUUGUUGUGACAAUUGAAGAAACAAGAGAUCUAGAGGAUAUGACGAUUGAGCAACUUCAAGGAAGGUUGUAAGCCUAUGAAGAAAAACAAAAAAAGAAGCAAGGAAUCGAAGAACAACUUCUCAAGAUGGAAGUCAAUCCAAAGAAAAAAGAAGAAAGCUCCGACAACGAGAGAAGGCACUAUGUCCGAGGUAGAGGUCGAGGUCGAGGACGAGGUAGAGGUCGUGGUCAUGGACGAGGUUGGAAUUUCAACAACAACAACUCCAAUUAUGCCAAAGGAGAAAGCUCAACCAGAGGACAAGGCAGAGGCAAUCCAAGAUCGAGGUAUGACAAAUCCCAAGUACAGUGCUAUAAUUGUUAAAAGUUUGGGCAUUAUGCUUCAGAAUGCAGAGCUCCAAGCACCAGAAUUGAAGAGAGAGUGAACUAUGCUGAAGAGAAAAAUGGUGAAGAUGGCACACUUUUACUAGCACGCAAUGACACAAGUGGAGGUCAAGAAAAUACAUGGUAUCUUGACAUAGGUGCUAGCAAUCAUAUGAGUGGAAACAGAAGCAUGUUCGUGCAACUAAGUGAAUCUGUGAAUGGCAGUGUCGCUUUUGGAGAUGAUUCAAAAGUACCAGUGAAGGGUAGAGGUAACAUUCUUUUUCAUGCAAAAGAUGGUAGCCACCAAAUAAUUUCGAAUGUUUACUAUGUGCCCAAUAUGAAAAGCAACAUUCUUAGUUUAGGUCAACUUUUAGAAAAAGGCUAUGAUAUUCACUUAAAAGAUUAUAGUCUUUUCCUAAGAGAUGACAAAGGAAAUCUAAUUACAAAAGUGAGAAUGUCAAAGAAUAGAAUGUUUCCUUUAAAUAUUCAAAAUGAUGUUGCAAAAUGUCUCAAAGCCUGUCACAAAGAUCAAUCCUAGACUUGGCAUCUUCGAUAUGGGCAUCUCAACUUUGGAGAACUGGAGCUACUCUCUAAUAAGAACAUGGUGAAAGGCUUACCAUACAUCAAUCACCCUGAUCAACUUUGUGAAGGAUGUUUACUUGGCAAGCAGUUCAAAAAGAGCUUUCCUAAGGAGUCAAACUCAAGAGCACAGAAGCCACUCGAGCUUAUUCAUACUGAUGUGUGCGGUCCAUUCAAGCCAAACUCCCUUGGUAAAAGUAACUACUUCCUUCUCUUCAUAGAUGAUUUUUCAAGAAAAACUUGGGUGUAUUUUUUGAAGCAAAAAUCAGAAGUCUUUGAAGCUUUCAAGAAGUUUAAAGCUGCAGUUGAAAAAAAAAGUGGAUACCAGAUUAAAGCCAUGAGAUCUGAUCGAGGUGGAGAGUUCACUUCCAAAGAAUUUUUUGAGUUUUGUGAAGCAAAUGGAAUUCGACGCCCUUUGACAGUUCCAAGAUCCCCCCAACAAAAUGGUGUUGCAGAAAGGAAGAACAGAACCAUCCUCAACAUGGCAAGAAGCAUGCUUAAGAGUAAGAGGCUACCUAAAGAAUUUUGGGCUGAAGCAGUUGCAUUUGCAGUCUACUUAUCCAAUCGAUCUCCAACAAGAAGCGUGUGGGGCAAGACGCCACAAGAAUCUUGGAGUGGAAGAAAACCCGGCAUCACCCAUCUAAGAGUUUUUGGAAGCAUUGCCCAUGUACAUGUACCAGACGAAAGUAGAGCCAAGCUAGAUGACAAAAGUGAGAAGUUCAUCUUCAUCGGCUACGACAACAACUCCAAAGGAUACAAGCUUUACAAUCCAAACAACGGGAAGAUCGUGAUCAGUCGAGAUGUAAUUUUUGAUGAAGAAGGAGAAUGGGAUUUUGGCUCUGGUGUGGAUGACUUCAACUUCUUUCCCAUUGAAGAAGAUGAUCAUACACAGAUAAAACAAGUAGACGAACAACAAGAGCCUGCCACUCCACCUAUCUCACCAGCAUCAACCACAUGCGGAGAUUCACCGCCGUCUUUCUUAAAUAAAAGAACUAAAGAAUGUACAAGGAGUCUUCAAGAUCUCUAUGAGGUAACUGAGAGACAUGAUAAUCUCACUCUCUUUUGCCUCUUUGCUGAUUGUGAGCCAGUCAACUUCUAAGAAGCUGCACUGGAUGAGAAGUGGAGAAUUUCAAUGGAUGAAGAAAUCAAAGCCAUUGUGAAAAAUGAUACUUGGGAGCUUACUACUCUUCCAAAAGGUCACAAGGCGAUCGGUGUCAAAUGGGUGUAUAAAACAAAAAGAAAUGCGAAGGGAGAAAUUGAAAGGCACAAGGCGAGGCUAGUUGCAAAAGGCUAUAGUCAAAAGGCUGGCAUAGACUAUGACGAGGUAUUUGCUCCUGUAACUCGACUUGAAACAAUUAGACUUAUUAUUUCUUUGGCUGCUCAGAACAAAUGGAAAAUUUUUCAAAUGGAUGUGAAGUCUGCUUUCUUGAAUGGAUUCCUUGAAGAAGAAGUUUACAUCGAACAACCAUUAGGCUAUGUGGUGAAAGGACAUGAAGACAAAGUUUUGAGAUUAAAGAAAGCUCUUUACGGGUUAAAGCAAGCACCAAGGGCAUGGAAUAGCAGAAUUGACAAGUAUUUUCAAGAGAAAGGCUUCACCAAAUGCCUAUAUGAACAUGCUCUCUACGUUAAAGAAAAAGAUAGAGAUAUUUUGAUUGUGUGCCUGUGGAUGAUCUCAUCUUCACUGGAAGUAAUCCAAGCUUGUUUGAAGAGUUCAAGAGAGUGAUGAUCAAAGAGUUCGAGAUGACUGACAACGGACUGAUGGCACAUUACCUCGGCAUUGAAGUCAAGCAAAAGGAAGAAGGCAUAUUUAUCUCCCAAGAAAGCUAUGCAAAGGAGAUUCUCAAAAGGUUCAAGAUGAAUGAUUGCAAGCCUAUAAGCACGCCAGUGGAAUGCGGAGUCAAGUUAUCCAAAUAUGAUGAAUGCGAAGAUAUAGAUCCAACAUUCUUUAAAAGUUUGGUUGGAAGCCUACGUUAUUUGACAUGCACAAGACCAGAUAUCCUUUAUGCUGUUGGACUUGUGAGCCGAUGCAUGGAGAAUCCAAAGACCACCCAUUUUAAAGUUGCAAAAAGAAUCCUUCGCUAUAUCAAAGGUACAAUUAAUUUCGGCUUGUUAUACUCAUUUUCUAAUGACUAGAAGCUUGUUGGAUAUAGCGAUAGCGAUUGGGGUGGAGAUGUAGACGAUCGAAAGAGCACAACAGGAUUUAUGUUCUUCAUGGGAGAUACUACUUUCACAUGGAUGUCAAAGAAGCAACCAAUUGUCACGUUAUCCACCUGUGAAGCUGAAUAUGUAGCUGCCACAUCAAGUGUUUGUCAUGCAAUUUGGCUCAGAAAUUUGCUGAAGGAGUUGAGUUUGGCACAAGAAGAGCCAACCGAGAUUUGUGUUGAUAACAAAUCAGCAAUUGUCCUAUCCAAGAAUCCAGUCUUUCAUGAUCGAAGUAAAUACAUAGACACUCGCUAUCAUUUCAUAAGAGAGUGUAUUGCAAGAAAAGAAGUGCAAAUCAAGUAUGUAAAAUCACAAGAUCAAGCAGCUGAUAUCUUCACUAAGCCACUCAAGCAAGAAGACUUUGUAAGAUUCAGAAGUUUGCUUGGUGUCACAGGAUCAAGUUUAAGGGGAGGUGUUGGAUCAUAAACUUGAUCCAAGAUGAAUAAAUCAAGCCCAACUCAUGGAAGGUUCCAUGAGUAUGUAUGGUUGGUGAGGUUUGAAUUAUUUGUGUUAGGUGUGUUAGGUGUGGUUGGUGAAGUAGGUGAGUGGUAGGUUUUAAUGGAUGGUGAGGAUUUGUUUAUUAGUUGAAUAAAUGAAUGGUUGUGAUUAGUUUGUUUCAUGUAUAAAUACCCCCUCUCCCCUUUGGUUUAAACAUCAAGUGAAGUAGCAAAAUCUCUAAGGUGUAGAGAGUGAAAAAUAAGAGUUGUAAUUGAUGAGGAGUGUUGUUGUAGAAAUAAAAUAGUGUAUUUUUUCUGUGUUUUAUUUGU